CGCGCCAAAUUAUCUUCCUGUUUUCGCAGCGCCCCCACCGGGAGGCAUAGAAAGACUUCCUGUCAUAACAGCUGCUGUGUUGUCUUCACAGCCUUUGGGGUAUGAAAUCACUUUCCUCAGCAACAGAUACAGCUUGCCAGCGGUAAAAAAUGCAGAAUGCUUAUUUUAAUGUGGGACUUUAUUCCCACCACCAUAAAUCUAUCAAAUAUUAUGGUACCUCUACUGAUUGACUCAACAAGAUUCUGAAGUUUCCUGUUGUCUUCCCAGAAGACCUUGGACCUUGACCUGCUUUAUAAGGGUGUUUUAAGUGAGAUCUUAGGAUGAAAAAGGCGAAGAAUAGUAGUUUAGUAAGCUGCGAAGCUUAAAAUUGUACCAUGCUGCUGCAUCAAACUUGGUCAAACUCUAAACGCCAUUGAAACAAACAUUGGCUUGUAUCGCACCACUGUUGCGCUGUUUUUCAACAAUACUGCAACUGAAUUAAUGAUAUCCUUAACUUUUAAUGGUAAAAUCUGAGCUAUCUCUCACUCCAGGACAUUUAUAAAGGUUUUUUUCAUGACUUCCAAGAAUUUACUGAUUGAAUAUUUUUCCACAUAUUUUUCCACUCCUUGGACUGUAAAUUCUGAGUAAAGAAAAGAUAUAUGUGAUGUACAUUUCAAAUUUCAAUGUGAUGCAUAUGAACUGGAAUUUAAUGCAAGGCCUAAAUGUGUGACAAUAAAACUAACUUGAAGUCAACCAAUACA